UACGGAGGGCGCAAACGUUGCUCGGAAUCAUUGGGCGUAAAGCGCACGUAGGCGGCCUGAUAAGUCGGGUGUGAAAGCCCUGGGCUCAACCCAGGAAGUGCACUCGAAACUGUCAGGCUUGAAUAUGGAAGAGGGUCGCGGAAUUCCCGGUGUAGAGGUGAAAUUCGUAGAUAUCGGGAGGAACACCAGUGGCGAAGGCGGCGACCUGGGCCAAUAUUGACGCUGAGGUGCGAAAGCGUGGGGAGCAAACAGG
rnacentral:rRNA from 1 species